rnacentral:rRNA from 1 species
GACGAACGCUGGCGGCGUGCUUAACACAUGCAAGUCGAACGGAAAGGCCCUGCUUUUGUGGGGUGCUCGAGUGGCGAACGGGUGAGUAACACGUGAGUAACCUGCCCUUGACUUUGGGAUAACUUCAGGAAACUGGGGCUAAUACCGGAUAGGAGCUCCUGCUGCAUGGUGGGGGUUGGAAAGUUUCGGCGGUUGGGGAUGGACUCGCGGCUUAUCAGCUUGUUGGUGGGGUAGUGGCUUACCAAGGCUUUGACGGGUAGCCGGCCUGAGAGUGUGACCGGCCACAUGGGGACUGAGAUACGGCCCAGACGCCUGCGGGAGGCAGCAGUGGGGAAUAUUGCACAAUGGGCGGAGGCCUGAUGCAGCAGCGCCGCGUGCGGGAUGACGGCCUUCGGGUUGUAAACCGCUUUCGCCUGUGACGAAGCGUGAGUGACGGUAAUGGGUAAAGAAGCACCGGCUAACUACGU